UUGAACUUUAAUUUUCUGUUUUUGCUUCCUUGUAAGGACCGGCGUGAAGUCUUCAGUAGCUGACCUUGCAUCAUAUUCACGAACUCUGUCCCAUAGAUCAAGACUGUGUUGAAUGUUUUUGCUGGGAUGUACAUGUUGUUGUUGUAAAACGACAACCUCUUGCUCCUCUGGUAUUGUCAUGCUAGCACUAGCCACAAGAGACCUCUCUACAACGACCAGUGACGCCAAGGAAGGGCGUGACCCAGAAUGAACUUCAACUUGCUCAACAAUAGUAUCUGUAU
rnacentral:lncRNA from 1 species